rnacentral:rRNA from 1 species
GAGUUUGAUCCUGGCUCAGGAUGAACGCUAGCGGUGCGCCUAACACAUGCAAGUCGAGCGCCCUCACUUUGUCUUCGAAUCUUUCGAAGCCAGUGUGAGGGAGCGGCGAACGGGUGAGUAACACGUUGGAACCUACCCCAGACUCAGGGAUAGCCCACCGAAAGGUGGAUUAAUACCGGAUAGUCUCGUAAGAGUAAAGCUUUUGCGGUUUGGGAGGGGCCUGCGGCCUAUCAGCUUGUUGGUAGUGUAAUAGACUACCAAGGCUAUGACGGGUAUCUGGUGUGAGAGCAUGACCAGACACAAUGGAACUGAGACACGGUCCAUACUCCUACGGGAGGCAGCAGUGAGGAAUCUUCCGCAAUGGGCGAAAGCCUGACGGAGCGACACCGCGUGGAGGACGAAGGCCUUUUGGUUGUAAACUCCUUUUCUGGGGGAAUAAAUGAUGAAGGUACCCCAGGAAUAAGCACCGGCUAACUACGUGCCANCAGCCGCGGUAAUACGUAGGGUGCAAGCGUUAUCCGGAAUUAUUGGGCGUAAAGCGUUCGUAGGCUGUUUAGAUAGUUUGUAGUUAAAUAUGGUCGCUCAACGAUCAACUCGCUACAAAAACUCCUAAACUUGAGAUUGGCAGANGCAACUGGAAUUCCACAUGUAGGGGUAAAAUCCGUUGAUAUGUGGAGGAACACCAAAAGCGAAGGCAGGUUGCUGGGCCAUUUCUGACG